rnacentral:rRNA from 1 species
UACGGAGGGUGCAAGCGUUAUCCGGAUUCACUGGGUUUAAAGGGUGCGUAGGUGGGCUGGUAAGUCAGUGGUGAAAUCUCCAGGCUUAACUUGGAAACUGCCAUUGAUACUAUCAGUCUUGAAUACCGUGGAGGUCAGCGGAAUAUGUCAUGUAGCGGUGAAAUGCUUAGAUAUGACAUAGAACACCAAUUGCGAAGGCGAGUCUCUGGACAGUUACCGACGCUGAGGCACGAAGGUCAGGGGAGCAAAUGGG